rnacentral:rRNA from 1 species
CCUACGGGAGGCUGCAGUGAGGAAUAUUGGUCAAUGGCCGCAGGGCUGAACCAGCCAAGUCGCGUGAGGGAUGACGGUCCUAUGGAUUGUAAACCUCUUUUGUCAGGGAGCAAAGGGCGCCACGUGUGGCGCUUUGCGAGUACCUGAAGAAAAAGCAUCGGCUAACUCCGUGCCAGCAGCCGCGGUAAUACGGAGGAUGCGAGCGUUAUCCGGAUUUAUUGGGUUUAAAGGGUGCGCAGGCGGAAUGUCAAGUCAGCGGUAAAAUUUCGGGGCUCAACCCCGUCGUGCCGUUGAAACUGGCGUUCUUGAGUGAGCGAGAAGUGUGCGGAAUGCGUGGUGUAGCGGUGAAAUGCAUAGAUAUAACGCAGAACUCCGAUUGCGAAGGCAGCAUACCGGCGCUCAACUGACGCUCAUGCACGAAAGCGUGGGUAUCGAACAGGAUUAGAUACCCCAGUAGUC